CAACUUUCCGACGCCAGCGCAGAGUUUUGCCCUGAUCGCCGGGACCGCGUGAGCGUGCGGCGCCGAGGCCAUGCGGUGAGCGAGUCUUGUGAAGAAGGCAAUCUGAGGACCAUGCAUCCGUGACUCCUGGUACCAGCCUGUGAGCCGGGGCGAUGGAAGUUCUAGAGGGCCGCCAGCGUACUGCUUCUGUGACCAUUCCCAAUGGAUUUGCCAACAGGGUUUUCCAAGCAAACAUGGAGGAAGGGAGCACGGACGCCUUGGAGGCCUGUGGUGCUGAGCACUGCGCCUCCGGCGACGCAAUCCCGAGCGAGCAGGAGGAGACACACAGAUAUAAGAAGACAACCAAGGGCAACCGGAUCUGGAAUUUCGUCAGGCGAAGGAAAGGACUCUCUACGAAUAAAGACAGACCCCAGUCCAUGAUCCUGCUGGGAGUUACGGCUGAGGCCUCAGAGUUAAAAAAGCCAUCCUUCAUGGACAGGGUACGGUCGUCAAAAAAGGGAAGAUCCUCCAAGACGCCCAAGAACGUGGAUUUGAGAGCGUCCAGAGUGCAGGACGUGUGUGACCCUGAGGAGGACCUUCAUUCCAGUGGGCAGAGAGCUCUCUACAGGGUCAAGAAGCUGGGCGAUGGCCGGAGGCCCUCCCGCCACUCGUACGCGGGGUACAUUGAGGACUUGGACUCUUCUUUUGAGGACAUAGAGCUGAACAUCAGCAUUCCUGAACUCGAUACCACUGAAAGCAAAUGUCUCAGGGAUAUCAGUGGCAGAUUACACGGGGAGGAUAAUGAUGGUAACUGCCACAGAAUACUGGCCAGGAAGAGUGACUCUUUGAAUUUUGAACACAUUAAGAGUCCUGCAAUUACAGAAGGGGACAAUCAAAAGAGGUGUGCUGUGCUCCCACAGGAGAGCAGGAGAGGAAGGAGCUCUGAUGUCUGGAGCUAUCUGAAAGGAAUUUCAUUAGCUGGCAAAGAUAAUUCAAAGCUCCCAGAUCAAAGGGCUGAAACCAAUUUCCAGAACCUAGAAAAUACAACCGAUCAUUCCGCUUCUUACUUUGACUUUGAUACAAGAUGUGAGGAGAAUCUCAGCCAGCGGAAAAAAUCAAACGGUGCUGCCAAAGCCACUCACUUUGGGGGUGUUGUGAGGUUCCUGACCAGCGUGGCCGAGGCAGCUCGGCGGCUGCGAGGCUCCUCGAGGGCGUUUUCCCCCGAUGAGAAGAGGCCUCAGCGGAGUUUCCGAGGCCGCAGGCAAGAUGUUGCCUCCCCCAAAGAGGGCUUGGUUAUCGAGAAUGAGAGCGCAAAGGCCUUCUGCACGGUGGGAGCCUGUCUGCAGUCCCCGGAUUCGGGCACGUGGGAGAACCUGAGCUUGGAGAGUUUAGCGGGGAAGGAGCCCAUGCAGCACUGCAAAACCACGGAAGGGGCAAAAGGCGUUGGUUCCUCUGGGCCGGACGGUGGGAAUGACAGACUUAAUGAAACAUCACUUUCCCCCUUUGGGCCAGAACCGGCCAUGUCCCACCUGGCAGAGCUUGCAGAUGGCUCUUUCACUGAGCUGAAUAGCAAAGACCCCUCUGAGGAUCUGGCUGAACUUCCACAGACGACUCCGGCCGAACCGAUUCAGGACUUGGGCACUACUGCAGAGAAGCCCCAGAUCGUGGCCAGGGACCUGCCACCUUCUCAUGAUCUUCCUGUGAAUAGUCUGGAUACUGGGGACUUGGGCUGUUCUCCAGCUGCCAGUGGGGACUUUUCUGCAGUGACUGGGGCUCAGACCCACCUCCCACAGGCAUCACCAACUAAACUUGAUACUGAGCAUGUGGCUUGUGCCCCGGUGGUUGCUAAAGAUGUGGAUCUGUCUCCAGCAGUUGCUCAGGAGCUUUCAGAGACAGAACUGGAUAAUCAGGACUUGAGAAAUCCUGAGCUGCCUUUACAAAACUUGUCUGGAGGUGAGCUGGAGUUUCAGGACACUGGCAGUACCCUGGAGAGGGUCGUGGGCAGGGACCUGCCACCUCCUCUUGAUCUUGUCAAUAAUUUGGGUGCUGCAGAUCUGGGCUGUUCUCCAGCUGCUGAUGGUGCCUUUUCUGCAGUGAUUGAGGCUCAGACCCACCUUCCACAGACAUCACUGACUAAACUUGAUACUGAGGAUGUGGCUUGUGCACCAGUGAUUGCUAAAGACAUGGAUCCAUCUCCAGUUGUGGCUCAGGAAAUUUCAAGGACAGAACUGGAUAAUCAGGACUUGAGAAAUCCUGAGCUGCCUUUGCAGGACUUGUCAGGAGGUGAGCUGGGGAUUCAGGACUCAGGCAGUACUCCAGAGACAUCGCAGGCUGGGGGCAGGGAUGUGCCACCUUCCCCUGAUCAUCCUGUGAAUAAGCUGGAUACUGUGGACUUGGACCAUUCCUCAGCUGCCAAUGGUGACUUCUCUGCAGCAGCUGAGGCUCUGAUCCACCUUCCACAGGCAGCUCUGACUGAAGAGAUCCAAGACACUGUCAGUACUCUGGAGAAGAGUCAGGUCAUGGGCAGGGACCUGCCACCUUCUCACGACGUUCCUGAGAAUAUUCUGGAUGCUGGGGACAUGAGCUGUUCCGCAGUUGCCGACGUUGACUUUUCUGUAGUGACUUUUUUAAAGUGCUCCACAGUGAGAAGGCAGGGCUUGGAGCAGCCUGGUGGCCGCAUUAAAAAGCGGGGAACCACUUCAUUUGUGGAACAAAACUCUGUGGAGGUCAUGGACAGAGUGGAAGAGUUCAGCUGCAGCACGGAGUGCAGGCCCUUCCAAGUGCACGUCUCGAGGAUUGUCUCCUCUGGACGGCUCAAAAAUGGAAAGCCGACAUCUCAUCCUUCGCAGCCGUCCCCGCAAGCAGCGCCCUUCAAGGUGCUGGUGGAGCGCUGCCGCUCCGAGCCCCUCUCGCAGAGCACCCCGAUGGGGCUGGACCAGGUGGGAGGGCGCAUGCAGCACCUGCUCCGGAGACGAGCUGAGAACGAACAGGCUUCAAAGACCCUGAAGGUGCGCGGGAACUGCAGGAACGGUGGCCGUCGAUGGAACCUCUUCAAGCCUGGAGCUGAGAAGCUGCAGAUCAGCAGGCUGAUCAGUGGUGGUUCCAUUGUCAGUGCUGAGGCAGUAUGGGAUCACGUCACCAUGGCCAACCGGGAGUUGGCGUUUAAAGCAGGAGACGUCAUCAAGGUCCUGGAUGCUUCCAACAAGGACUGGUGGUGGGGUCAGAUCGACGAUGAAGAAGGGUGGUUUCCCGCCAGCUUCGUGAGGCUAUGGGUGAACCAGGAGGAUGGGGUGGAGGAGGGAACCAGCGAGGUGCAGAACGGCCACUUGGACCCCAGCGCCGACUGCCUGUGCCUGGGCAGGACCGUGCAGAACCGGGACCAGAUGAGAGCCAACGUCAUCAAUGAGAUCAUGAGCACCGAGCGCCACUACAUCAAACACCUCAAGGACAUCUGCGAGGGUUACCUAAAGCAGUGCCGGAAGAGGAGGGACAUGUUCAGUGAUGAACAGCUGAAAAUCAUCUUUGGGAACAUCGAAGACAUCUACAGAUUUCAGAUGGGAUUUGUCCGGGACCUGGAGAAGCAGUACAACAACGAGGACCCCCAUCUCAGUGAGAUUGGGCCGUGCUUCCUGGAACACCAAGACGGCUUCUGGAUCUAUUCCGAGUACUGUAACAACCACCUGGACGCGUGCAUGGAGCUCUCCAAGCUGAUGAAGGACAGCAGGUACCAGCACUUCUUCGAGGCGUGCCGCCUGCUGCAGCAGAUGAUCGACAUCGCCAUCGACGGCUUCCUGCUGACUCCCGUGCAGAAGAUCUGCAAGUACCCCCUGCAGCUGGCAGAGCUGCUCAAGUACACGGCCCAGGAGCACAGUGACUACAGGUACGUGGCUGCUGCCCUGGCCGUCAUGAGGAACGUGACUCUCCAGAUCAACGAGCGCAAGCGGAGGCUGGAGAACAUCGACAAGAUAGCUCAGUGGCAGGCCUCUGUCCUGGACUGGGAGGGAGACGAUAUCUUGGACCGCAGCUCGGAGCUGAUCUACACGGGAGAGAUGUCCUGGAUUUACCAGCCUUAUGGACGGAACCAGCAGCGAGUUUUCUUUCUCUUUGAUCACCAGAUGGUUCUCUGCAAGAAGGAUCUGAUCCGAAGGGAUAUCCUGUAUUACAAAGGACGCAUAGACAUGGAUAAAUAUGAAGUGGUGGAUAUAGAAGAUGGGAGAGAUGAUGACUUCAAUGUCAGCAUGAAGAAUGCCUUCAAACUGCAUAACAAGGAGACUGAGGAAAUGCACUUAUUCUUUGCCAAGAAACUGGAGGAGAAGUUACGAUGGCUUAGAGCUUUCAGAGAAGAAAGGAAGAUGGUAAAAGAAGAUGAAAAGAUAGGCUUUGAAAUUUCUGAGAAUCAAAAGCGGCAAGCGGCAAUGACAGUAAAGAAAGUCAGUAAGCAAAAAGGUGUGAGCUACUCCAAGUCGGUUCCUCCAGCCUACCCACCACCCCAGGAUCCAUUAAAUCAGGGACAAUACAUGGUGACAGAUGGCAUAUCCCAGUCCCAGGUCUUCGAGUUCACCGAACCCAGACGCAGCCAGGCACCAUUCUGGCAAAACUUCAGCAGGUUAACACCAUUCAAAAAAUAAUACCUAGAGAGAUGGAGAAUUUUAACUUAAAAGAACUAAAAUUUAAAAAUAAAAAUAAAUAAAAUUAUAUUUAUAGAUGGACCUUUUUUCGGAGAAGCACUGUUGCAACUAAAUAUAUAUACAUAUAUAUAUGUAUACACACAUUUUAAAAAUAAUAAUAUAUAUACAUAUAUGUAUAUAUAUAGAAGGACCAAAAACUUUUUUUGUUGUUUUUGGGAAGUAAUCUGCUACUAGAUACUAGGAAGCACCAAUGAUUUCUAACCAUGUGACCUGUUUUAUUUUAUUUUACUCCAUUGGUUGGACAUCUCUUCUUUUGGUUUUUUUUUCCUGUUUUCCUUCAUUCCCAUCCGAGUCGUCAUUGGCAUCCCAGAAUGCUUUCUCGCUUGUGUGACUCCGCCAUGGAAGUUCCUCAUGGACUACAUUGAGAGUGAGAAUGAGACAUCCAUAAUUUUUAUGAGAAGAUGCUUCCUAAAUAUUCAGCACUAGGAAAAAAGAAACACCACCGCCACACCAUUAUUUGCAUCAUAAAUCAAGAUCUGACAAGGCCACUUGUUGGACUCGCAGCUUCUUUGUUAAGUGGGAAGCCCACCCGGGGCAGCGCCGCUCGUGCUGGCGCUGGCACAGCGGCCGCAGGGACGAGGGGCUUGGCUCUCAGGCCUUCAAGAAAGCUCUUCCCCUCCAUAAAUUGCCAAGGUGCUGCAGGAGAUGGAGCAUUGGCACAAAGAAGAACCAGCACUGGGUCCCACUUGAGCACCUGCUGGGGCUUUGCCAGCAGGGAGCAGGGCUGGAGCGUGUGUGUGACAGCGCUGGGAGCAGCGCGGAUGCAGAUGGGGGUGACUUGACUGAGCAUCUGAUACAGACUUUUCAUUCCAAUGCCAGACAGGAGGAACCCACUUCCCAUUCCAUAUGCAGAAACAAGAGAGUUGUAACAAACUUACAUGUUUACGGUAUUUCUCUGGCUGAAUCUAUAUAUAUAUAUAUAUAUAUAAAAAUAAAAAGAAACCCUCUUCCCUAGGUAAAUGACAUGCAUUACCCUUAACCUAGACACUAGAACAGAGGAUCUAAAUUCAAGACUUUCGCCUCCCCACCCUCUCCAAAAAGUCAAACAAGAACCAACCUAGGUGCAUCUAACAGUUGUAAAUAGAAAAUACUACAUAGAGAAAUAUAUUUGAAAUUUGUUUCAGUUUCUGGAUGGGCACCAGCCGUCCAUUGCAAUGUUAUUGAUAGUACACUGUGGUGCUUUGGGUUUCUGGUUUUGUUCUCUUUAUGCUCUGUCAUCUUUUCAUUGCAGCUACAUUUCAGGGAACAUGUAUAUUUAGUAGCUAUUGUAAGUUCUGCAUGGCAUCACCAAGCUUAUUUUUCCUUAAGAAGAAAAGAAGAGUCUGUAGGAGCUUAAAGGCACUAUGACGACAGGGACUUGUAGCAGAGAAUUAAAAAAAAAAAAAAAAAAAAAAAAAAAAAAAGAGGUUUUUAAAAUUCUAGUUUGAAGCCAAAUACUGAUAUUUUAGUGCUUUUGGGGUUUUAACAGUAAGAGCAAAAAAAAAAAAAAAAAAAAAAGAAAAAAAAAAGAAAAAAAGGAUUUUGGUAACCCAGCUGAUCCGCACUUGCCAGUUUUAUUAUUUUGUUUAUAUUGGACUGUUUGACCCUGUCAAACAAGUGUCAAAGUUGUGUGUAUAAAACAAAAAAAAAAGUGUUUAAAAAAGUGUUGUAAAGACACUGAGCCUUAUGAAAAUAUUUAUGGAAUUAAAUAAAAAGAAGUGAAAAGGCA